rnacentral:lncRNA from 1 species
UAAAGUCGGUUUGUUAAUUUAUUUCAUCCUAUUUUCAUUGGUUUUGUAAAAAAUAAUGCCGAAAACAAUCAAAAGUUCGACGAGAAAGCUUCUAUUUACUAUGAUUGACAAAUAUAAAGACCUACAAAGUGAUUUGAAUCAGAAAUUUGCAGAGAAAAUACGACGAUUGGAUUCAAUCAUUUCACUUUUAGAUAAUAUUAACGGGGACAACGGCAACGAGGAAACAAAACUUACAAUUGCGGAAACAGUAAAGAAAUUGAAAACUCUCGAAAAUAAUGAAAUGUUUGCAAGUGAAACACAGUAGAUAUAAGUGUGAAGACCUUAAGAAGAAUUAAAAUUGAAGGGUCUAAAAAUCAAGGACAGUGGGAUACUCCAGGAAAAAAACGUCCACAUUCAGCAACAGUUUCUAAUUUGGAUAAUUUUGACAUUUCUGCUAUAAGAAACAAAAUAAACUCAUUUUAUGCAGUAAAAAAACAAGUCCCAACGCUGAGAAGCCUGCACAAUGAACUGAAGGAAGCAAUUGGAUUUAUGGGAUGUCGUGAAACCCUUAGAAAUGUUUUA